UCCUACGGGGGGCAGCAGUGGGGAAUAUUGCACAAUGGGGGAAACCCUGAUGCAGCGACGCCGCGUGAGUGAAGAAGUAUUUCGGUAUGUAAAGCUCUAUCAGCAGGGAAGAUAAUGACGGUACCUGACUAAGAAGCCCCGGCUAACUACGUGCCAGCAGCCGCGGUAAUACGUAGGGGGCAAGCGUUAUCCGGAUUUACUGGGUGUAAAGGGUGCGUAGGUGGCAUGGCAAGUCAGAAGUGAAAGCCCGGGGCUCAACCCCGCGGACUGCUUUUGAAACUGUCAGGCUGGAGUACAGGAGAGGG
rnacentral:rRNA from 1 species